AUUGAACGCUGGCGGCAGGCCUAACACAUGCAAGUCGAACGAGUGGCGGACGGGUGCGUAAUGUCUGGGAAACUGACUGAUGGAGGGGGAUAACUACUGAAAACGGUAGCUAAUACCGCAUACCAUCAGCUGUGCCCCUAUGGGCUUAGCUAGUUGGUGGGGUAACGGCUCACAAAGGCGACGCUCCCUAGCUGGUCUGAGAGGAUGACCAGCCACACUGGAACUGAGACACUGUCCAUACGCCUACGGUAGGCAGCAGUGGGGAAUAUUGCACAAUGGGCGCAAGCCUGCUGCAGCCUGGCCGCGUGUAUGAAGAAGGCCUUCGGGUUGUAAAGUACUUUCAGCGUGGAGGCGUUACCCGCAGAAGAAGCACCGGCUAACUCCGUGCCAGCAGCCGCGGUAAUAC
rnacentral:rRNA from 1 species